GACGAACGCUGGCGGCGUGCUUAACACAUGCAAGUCGAACGGAAAGGCCCUGCUUUUGUGGGGUGCUCGAGUGGCGAACGGGUGAGUAACACGUGAGUAACCUGCCCUUGACUUUGGGAUAACUUCAGGAAACUGGGGCUAAUACCGGAUAGGAGCUCCUGCUGCAUGGUGGGGGUUGGAAAGUUUCGGCGGUUGAGGAUGGACUCGCGGCUUAUCAGCUUGUUGGUGGGGUAGUGGCUUACCAAGGCUUUGACGGGUAGCCGGCCUGAGAGGGUGACCGGCCACAUUGGGACUGAGAUACGGCCCAGACUCCUACGGGAGGCAGCAGUGGGGAAUAUUGCACAAUGGGCGGAAGCCUGAUGCAGCAACGCCGCGUGCGGGAUGACGGCCUUCGGGUUGUAAACCGCUUUCGCCUGUGACGAAGCGUGAGUGACGGUAAUGGGUAAAGAAGCACCGGCUAACUACGUGCCAGCAGCCGCGGUGAUACGUAGGGUGCGAGCGUUGUCCGGAUUUAUUGGGCGUAAAGGGCUCGUAGGUGGUUGAUCGCGUCGGAAGUGUAAUCUUGGGGCUUAACCCUGAGCGUGCUUUCGAUACGGGUUGACUUGAGGAAGGUAGGGGAGAAUGGAAUUCCUGGUGGAGCGGUGGAAUGCGCAGAUAUCAGGAGGAACACCAGUGGCGAAGGCGGUUCUCUGGGCCUUUCCUGACGCUGAGGAGCGAAAGCGUGGGGAGCGAACAGGCUUAGAUACCCUGGUAGUCCACGCUGUAAACGGUGGGUACUAGGUGUGGGGUCCAUUCCACGGGUUCCGUGCCGUAGCUAACGCUUUAAGUACCCCGCCUGGGGAGUACGGCCGCAAGGCUAAAACUCAAAGGAAUUGACGGGGCCCCGCACAAGCGGCGGAGCAUGCGGAUUAAUUCGAUGCAACGCGUAGAACCUUACCUGGGUUUGACAUGGAUCGGGAGCGCUCAGAGAUGGGUGUGCCUCUUUUGGGGUCGGUUCACAGGUGGUGCAUGGCUGUCGUCAGCUCGUGUCGUGAGAUGUUGGGUUAAGUCCCGCAACGAGCGCAACCCUUGUUCACUGUUGCCAGCACGUUAUGGUGGGGACUCAGUGGAGACCGCCGGGGUCAACUCGGAGGAAGGUGGGGAUGACGUCAAGUCAUCAUGCCCCUUAUGUCCAGGGCUUCACGCAUGCUACAAUGGCUGGUACAGAGAGUGGCGAGCCUGUGAGGGUGAGCGAAUCUCGGAAAGCCGGUCUCAGUUCGGAUUGGGGUCUGCAACUCGACCUCAUGAAGUCGGAGUCGCUAGUAAUCGCAGAUCAGCAACGCUGCGGUGAAUACGUUCCCGGG
rnacentral:rRNA from 1 species